rnacentral:sRNA from 2 species
AUAUCUCUCUGUACGGGAAGGAUGAGAAGCUUCGACCAAGGUUCGAUUCGAGCGCAGCGAGAAAGCGUUGCCGCAGGCAACGACCCGA